rnacentral:rRNA from 1 species
AGAGUUUGAUCCUGGCUCAGGAUGAACGCUAGCGGCAGGCUUAAUACAUGCAAGUCGAGGGGCAGCGGGUGUAGCAAUACAUGCCGGCGACCGGCGCACGGGUGAGUAACGCGUAUGCAACCUGCCUCUAACUGGGGAAUAGCUCUGAGAAAUUGGAAUUAAUGCCCCAUAAUAUUCUACCAAGACAUCUUGGAAGAAUUAAAGCUCCGGCGGUUAGAGAUGGGCAUGCGUGCUAUUAGUUAGUUGGUGAGGUAACGGCUCACCAAGGCUACGAUGGCUAGGGGGUCUGAGAGGAUGAUCCCCCACACUGGUACUGAGACACGGACCAGACUCCUACGGGAGGCAGCAGUGAGGAAUAUUGGUCAAUGGGCGGAAGCCUGAACCAGCCAUCCCGCGUGAAGGAAGACAGCCUUACGGGUUGUAAACUUCUUUUCUGUCAGAAGAAUAAGCUUGUCGAGACGAGUGAUGCCGGUAUGACAGGAAUAAGCAUCGGCUAACUCCGUGCCAGCAGCCGCGGUAAUACGGAGGAUGCAAGCGUUAUCCGGAUUCAUUGGGUUUAAAGGGUGCGUAGGCGGGCUAUUAAGUCAGUGGUGAAAUCCUGCAGCUUAACUGCAGAACUGCCGUUGAUACUGAUAGUCUUGAGUUUGGUUAAGGUAGGCGGAAUGUGUAAUGUAGCGGUGAAAUGCUUAGAUAUUACACAGAACACCAAUUGCGUAGGCAGCUUACUGAGCCGACACUGACGCUGAGGCACGAAAGCGUGGGGAUCAAACAGGAUUAGAUACCCUGGUAGUCCACGCCGUAAACGAUGAUUACUCGCUGUUGGCGAUACACUGUCAGCGGCUAAGCAAAAGCAAUAAGUAAUCCACCUGGGGAGUACGGCCGCAAGGUUGAAACUCAAAGGAAUUGACGGGGGCCCGCACAAGCGGAGGAACAUGUGGUUUAAUUCGAUGAUACGCGAGGAACCUUACCUGGGCUUAAAUGUAGAGUGCAUUUUCUAGAGAUAGAAAUUCCCUUCGGGGCUUUCUGCAAGGUGCUGCAUGGUUGUCGUCAGCUCGUGCCGUGAGGUGUCGGGUUAAGUCCCAUAACGAGCGCAACCCUUAUCGUUAGUUGCCAGCUGGUAAAGCAGGGGACUCUAGCGAAACUGCCACCGUAAGGUGAGAGGAAGGUGGGGAUGACGUCAAAUCAGCACGGCCCUUAUGUCCAGGGCUACACACGUGUUACAAUGGCCGGUACAGAGGGCUGCUACCUGGUGACAGGAUGCUAAUCUCGAAAACCGGUCUCAGUUCGGAUCGAAGUCUGCAACUCGACUUCGUGAAGCCGGAUUCGCUAGUAAUCGCGCAUCAGCAACGGCGCGGUGAAUACGUUCCCGGGCCUUGUACACACCGCCCGUCAAGCCAUGGAAGCUGGGGGUGCCUGAAGUCCGUAACCGCAAGGAGCGGCCUAGGGUAAAACCAGUGACUGGGGCUAAGUCGUAACAAGGUAGCCGUACCGGAAGGUGCGGCUG